AUGCUUUGGCAGCAGAUGUACUAAAAUUGAAAAGAUACAGAGAAGAGUACCAUGGCUGCUGUGCAAGAAUGACAUGAAACUGCAGGAAGUAGUCCUUAUUUUU
ensembl:snRNA U6 U6 spliceosomal RNA